CACGUAGUUAGCCGGUGCUUUUCUGAAGGUACCGUCACCCGAAGGCUUCUUCCCAACUAAAAGAGGUUUACAACCCGAAGGCCGUCAUCCCUCACGCGGCGUUGCUGCAUCAGGCUUGCGCCCAUUGUGCAAUAUUCCCCACUGCUGCCUCCCGUAGGAGUCUGGGCCGUGUCUCAGUCCCAGUGUGGCCGGUCACCCUCUCAGGCCGGCUACCCGUCGACGCCUUGGUGAGCCAUUACCUCACCAACAAGCUGAUAGGCCGCGAGCCCCUCCCGAACCGAAAAAUCUUUCCCACAAGUAACCAUGCGGUUCAAGUGCAUAUCCGGUAUUAGCAGCUGUUUCCAACUGUUAUCCCGAAGUUCGGGGCAGGUUGCUCACGUGUUACUCACCCGUUCGCCACUAAUCCACCCAGCAAGCUGGGCUUCAUCGUUCGACUUGCAUGUGUUAAGCACGCCGCCAGCGUUCAUCCUGAGCCAGGAUCAAACUCU
rnacentral:rRNA from 1 species